rnacentral:rRNA from 1 species
UGGGGAAUUUUGGACAAUGGGGGAAACCCUGAUCCAGCCAUCCCGCGUGUGCGAUGAAGGCCUUCGGGUUGUAAAGCACUUUUGGCAGGAAAGAAACGUCGCGGGUUAAUACCCCGCGAAACUGACGGUACCUGCAGAAUAAGCACCGGCUAACUACGUGCCAGCAGCCGCGGUAAUACGUAGGGUGCAAGCGUUAAUCAGAAUUACUGGGCGUAAAGCGUGCGCAGGCGGUUCGGAAAGAAAGAUGUGAAAUCCCAGAGCUUAACUUUGGAACUGCAUUUUUAACUACCGGGCUAGAGUGUGUCAGAGGGAGGUGGAAUUCCGCGUGUAGCAGUGAAAUGCGUAGAUAUGCGGAGGAACACCGAUGGCGAAGGCAGCCUCCUGGGAUAACACUGACGCUCAUGCACGAAAGCGUGGGGAGCAAACAGGAUUAGAUACCCUGGUAGUCCACGCCCUAAACGAUGUCAACUAGCUGUUGGGGCCUUCGGGCCUUGGUAGCGCAGCUAACGCGUGAAGUUGACCGCCUGGGGAGUACGGUCGCAAGAUUAAAACUCAAAUGAAUUGAC